rnacentral:rRNA from 1 species
ACGAACGCUGGCGGCAUGCCUAACACAUGCAAGUCGAACGAGACCUUCGGGUCUAGUGGCGCACGGGUGCGUAACGCGUGGGAAUCUGCCCUUUGCUUCGGAAUAACAGUUAGAAAUGACUGCUAAUACCGGAUGAUGUCUUCGGACCAAAGAUUUAUCGGCAAAGGAUGAGCCCGCGUAGGAUUAGGUAGUUGGUGGGGUAAAGGCCUACCAAGCCGACGAUCCUUAGCUGGUCUGA